UGCGUAGGGUGCGAGCGUUGUCCGGAAUUAUUGGGCGUAAAGAGCUCGUAGGCGGUCUGUCGCGUCGAUCGUGAAAACUUGGGGCUUAACCCUGAGCUUGCGGUCGAUACGGGCAUGACUGGAGUUCGGCAGGGGAGACUGGAAUUCCUGGUGUAGCGGUGAAAUGCGCAGAUAUCAGGAGGAACACCGGUGGCGAAGGCGGGUUACUGGGCUGAUACUGACGCUGAUGCGCGAAAGCCAGGGGAGCAAACGGG
rnacentral:rRNA from 1 species